rnacentral:rRNA from 1 species
UACAUAGGGGGCAAGCGUUAUCCGGAUUUAUUGGGCGUAAAGGGUGCGUAGGCGGCUUGUUAAGUCUAAGGUGUAAGUGCAGGGCUCAACCCUGUGAUGCUUUAGAAACUGGUGAGCUAGAGAUAGAUAGAGGCAAGUGGAAUUCCAUGUGUAGCGGUAAAAUGCGUAAAUAUAUGGAGGAACACCAGUGGCGAAGGCGGCUUGCUGGGUCUAUACUGACGCUGAGGCACGAAAGCGUGGGGAGCAAACAGGAUUAGAUACCCUGGUAGUCCACGCCGUAAACGAUGAGUACUAAGUGUUGGGGGAACCCAGUGCUGUAGUUAACAUAUUAAGUACUCCGCCUGAGUAGUACGUACGCAAGUAUGAA